UACGAAGGGGGCUAGCGUUGCUCGGAAUCACUGGGCGUAAAGCGCACGUAGGCGGAUCUUUAAGUCAGGGGUGAAAUCCUGGAGCUCAACUCCAGAACUGCCUUUGAUACUGGGGAUCUCGAGUCCGGAAGAGGUGAGUGGAACUCCGAGUGUAGAGGUGAAAUUCGUAGAUAUUCGGAAGAACACCAGUGGCGAAGGCGGCUCACUGGUCCGGUACUGACGCUGAGGUGCGAAAGCAUGGGGAGCGAACAGG
rnacentral:rRNA from 1 species